GUUACUACACACACUUCCUACAGGAGGGAUUUUCAGUUUUGGCUCCAAAAUCUCACGAUCUAUGUAUAUCGCGAUGACGUAUUAUUCAUAGAUUUUCCACACGGUGGACCCUAAAGCAACAUCCUAAUAUUUUCGUAUUGACUGCUCUCCCGCCACAGACG